rnacentral:lncRNA from 1 species
GGCAUAAAGGCCUUAGGGUUGUAUGUAGGAAUUGAUGUAAUAAUGUAGGUAACACAAGCACCGACACUUGCACCGACACUACCACAAUUUAUUUACCGCUUUCCACUCGUUUUUUUACGACGUUACGUUAGUUUUCACCGUUAGUUUAGAAAAAUCAUUUUCUCAAAAAAAUCAAAUAUGCAAAACUUCAAAAUCAUUUUCUUAAUAACAUUUUUCCUUUAUUUUCUUAAUCAAAC